CGGCGGACGGGUGAGUAACACGUGGGUAACCUACCUAUAAGACUGGGACAACUUCGGGAAACCGGAGCUAAUACCGGAUAAGAUAUCGAACCGCAUGGUUCGAUAGUGAAAGAUGGUUUUGCUAUCACUUAUAGAUGGACCCGCGCCGUAUUAGCUAGUUGGUGAGGUAACGGCUCACCAAGGCAACGAUACGUAGCCGACCUGAGAGGGUGAUCGGCCACACUGGAACUGAGACACGGNUCCAGACUCCUACGGGAGGCAGCAGGG
rnacentral:rRNA from 1 species